rnacentral:rRNA from 1 species
AUAUAUACAGUGAAACUGCGAAUGGCUCAUUAAAUCAGUUAUCGUUUAUUUGAUGAUACUUUACUACUUGGAUAACCGUGGUAAUUCUAGAGCUAAUACAUGCAUAAAAGUCCCGACCCCUGGAAGGGAUGUAUUUAUUAGAUAAAAAACCAAUGCCUUCGGGCUCUUUGGUGAUUCAUAGUAACUUAACGAAUCGCAUAGCCUUGUGCUGGCGAUGGUUCAUUCAAAUUUCUGCCCUAUCAACUUUCGAUGGUAGGAUAUAGGCCUACCAUGGUUUCAACGGGUAACGGGGAAUUAGGGUUCUAUUCCGGAGAGGGAGCCUGAGAAACGGCUACCACAUCCAAGGAAGGCAGCAGGCGCGCAAAUUACCCAAUCCCGACACGGGGAGGUAGUGACAAUAAAUACUGAUACAGGUGGUUUUAUGCCUCUUGUAAUUGGAAUGAGUACAAUUUAAAUCUCUUAACGAGGAACAAUUGGAGGGCAAGUCUGGUGCCAGCAGCCGCGGUAAUUCCAGCUCCAAUAGCGUAUAUUAAAGUUGUUGCAGUUAAAAAGCUCGUAGUUGAACCUUGGAUCUGGCCAACUGGUCUGCCUCACCGCAUGCACUGGUUUGGUCGGGUCUUUCCUUCUGGCAAACUGCAUGCCCUUCACUGGGUGUGUUGGGGAACCAGGACUUUUACUUUGAAAAAAUUAGAGUGUUCAAAGCAGGCAUUAGCUCGAAUACAUUAGCAUGGAAUAAUAGAAUAGGACGUGUGGUUCUAUUUUGUUGGUUUCUAGGACCACCGUAAUGAUUAAUAGGGAUAGUCGGGGGCAUCAGUAUUCAAUCGUCAGAGGUGAAAUUCUUGGAUCGAUUGAAGACUAACUACUGCGAAAGCAUUUGCCAAGGAUGUUUUCAUUAAUCAGGGAACGAAAGUUAGGGGAUCGAAGACGAUCAGAUACCGUCGUAGUCUUAACCAUAAACUAUGCCGACUAGGGAUUGGGCGAUGUUCUUUUUUGACUCGCUCAGCACCUUACGAGAAAUCAAAGUCUUUGG